GAGAGUCCGGCAGCCUUUGUUGUGGGCUCUCAGCUGUUCUGAGAACAAAGCCACGGGCAGUUGAUUAUGCGUGGGUGCACUGCCUGUUUCGGCCUUAGAAGAAGUGCUUUGGGCUUGGGAGUAUUUUGAAGUCUCUAGUUAAUUUUUGCUAUUAGUGCUUCAUUCCUUUGAGUCUAGAAAUUCUCAUUUAUUUAUGUAUUAUUAUUUUUAAGAUCUAAAACAAUUUUUAAGUAACCUCUACAUCCAAGGUGGGGCUCGAACUCCCAACCCUGAGGUCAAGAGUCGUACGCUCUACCAACGAAGCCAGGCGGGCGACCCUGGAAAUUCUCAUUUAAAAAAUCAAAUCCUUCUGAGAGCGUUAAGCUAGGCUCUCUAUCCUUUAUUCCUUAGUUUAAAUGAAUUUAGUGUGACUUUCCUUUUUGUUCGUCCUGGGGGAAGAAGGGAGAAGUUGUCUUUCCCUGACAUUUUCAGGGAGCAAAACCCAAAGUUCAGUGCUCUGGAAAGCGGAGUCCCAGUGCGUGGUACAAGGUAGGGGGCAGUGUUUUCGAGCAGCGGUAGCUCCAGAAUUUCAGUUUGGAAGAGGCUUUCUGUGCAAAGACGAGGCCGCUUCGCUCCUGCAUUUCUGAGCGAACACACUAUUUCCCCUUAGGUUGUAUGUUGACUGAGUGGCUUUCCGUGGGCCGGGGGAGAUUAUAAAGGGAUAAAUCCACUGUAUACACACACGUGUGCAUGCCUGUGCACGAACAGACACCUAUGCAGGUACCAGAGGAGAAGGUGCCCUGUGGGUUAUGCUUUGGUUUGGCUACUUAAAUACAGGGUUUCUCUUCUUCCCAGGAUGGUGGUUUCCUGGAGAAGAUUCGUUGGGAGGGAUGGUCACGAUCUCACGGUUCGUGAGAUGAGCCUUGCAUCAGGCUCUGCGCUAACAGUUCGGAGCCUGCUUGGGAUUCUCUCUCUCCUUCUCUCUCUGUCCCUCCCCCACUCUCUCUAUCUCUGUCAAAAUAAAUAAAUAAACUUAAAAAAAAAA